rnacentral:rRNA from 1 species
UGCCUGUUUAUCAAAAACAUAGCCCUUAGCAAUACACAAGUAUUAAGGGUCAUGCCUGCCCAGUGACACUGUUAAACGGCCGCGGUAUCCUAACCGUGCAAAGGUAGCGUAAUCACUUGUCUUUUAAAUAAAGACUAGAAUGAAUGGCCAAACGAGGUUUUACCUGUCUCUUACAAAUAAUCAGUGAAAUUGAUCUUCCCGUGCAAAAUCGAGAAUGACAUUAUAAGACGAGAAGACCCUGUGGAACUUCAAAUAUUUAUCAAGUACUACCAAUUUAUACCUAAGGGAUUAAACAAACUAGUACUUCUUGAUCCUUAUUUUUGGUUGGGGUGACCUCGGAGAAUAGCAAAACCUCCGAAAAAAGAACAUACUUCUAUACUUAGAUCUACAGUUCAAAGUGCCUGCGGCAAAAUGAUCCAAUAUAUUUGAUCAACGAACCAAGCUACCCCAGGGAUAACAGCGCAAUCCCACCUAAGAGUCCUUAUCGACGGUGGGGUUUACGACCUCGAUGUUGGAUCAGGACAUCCUGAUGGUGCAACCGCUAUCAAGGGUUCGUUUGUUCAACGAUUAACAGUCCUACGUGAUCUGAGUUCAGAACCGGAG